UGCGGAGAGUGGAACCAAUCCUUGUCCACGAUCCUGUUCCAACCAGUACCAACCUGUCUGUGGAUUCAACCCAUGUGAGGAAGACGACUACCCUGAUAUGAUGUUUAGGACGUUCAAUAACGAAUGUGAGCUAGAGGCUACCAUAUGCGACGGACCAGGAUUUUUGUACCAGAGAGUCUACCAAGGAAUUUGUGUUAUGGACCACCAAGACGAUUCUUCAUGCCUUUUUAUAUCCAACUAACAUCAUACGUCAUGUAAACGACAACCAUUCUGAUGUACAGACCAUGUUACGAUUUGCAAUAAAUGUUUGAUUACAAAUAAUAU